rnacentral:rRNA from 1 species
UUUCCCGGUUGAUCCUGCCGGAGGUCACUGCUAUUGGAGUUCGAUUAAGCCAUGCGAGUCAAUAGUUCUUCGUGAACUAGGCGGACUGCUCAGUAACACGUGGGUAAUCUGCCCUCGGGUCAGGGAUAACCCCGGGAAACUGGGAAUAAUACCUGAUAGGUGAAGAUGUCUGGAACGAUACUUCGCCUAAAGCUCCGGCGCCCGAGGAUGAGCCUGCGGCCGAUUAGGUUGUUGGCGGUGUAAAGGACCACCAAGCCCGUGAUCGGUACGGGUGUUGAGAGACAUAGCCCGGAGAUGGGGGCUGAGACACGGCCCCAGGCCCUACGGGGCGCAGCAGGCGCGAAAACUACGCAAUGCGCGAAAGCGUGACGUGGGAACUCCAAGUGCCCUGCCUUCGGGUAGGGCUUUUGUUUAGUGUAAGAAGCUAAAUGAAUAAGUGCUGGGUAAGACCGGUGCCAGCCGCCGCGGUAACACCGGCAGCGCGAGUGGUGACCGCUUUUAUUGGGCCUAAAGCGUUCGUAGCCGGUUUGGUAAGUCUUUGGGUAAAUCCUCAGGCUCAACCUGAGGAAUUCCGAAGAUACUGCCAGACUUGGAGUUGAGAGAGGUCAGAGGUACCUCCGGGGUAGGGGUGAAAUCCUAUAAUCCUGGGGGGACCACCAGUGGCGAAGGCGUCUGACUAGAGCAAGCUCGACGGUGAGGGACGAAAGCCAGGGGCGCGAACGGGAUUAGAUACCCCGGUAGUCCUGGCUGUAAACGCUGCGCGCUAGGUGUUGCAUGCUCUACGAGGGCGUGCAGUGCCGAAGAGAAGUUGAUAAGCGUGCCGCCUGGGAAGUAUUACCGCAAGGUAGAAACUUAAAGGAAUUGGCGGGGGAGCACCACAAGGGGUGGAGUCUGCGGUUCAAUUGGAUUCAACGCCGGGA